GAGACCUUCGGGUCUAGUGGCGGACGGGUGAGUAACGCGUGGGAAUUUGCCUUUCGGUGCGGGACAACCAAGGGAAACUUUGGCUAAUACCGCAUACGCCCUACGGGGGAAAGAUUUAUCGCCGAAAGAGAAGCCUGCGUCGGAUUAGCUUGUUGGUAGGGUAAUGGCCUACCAAGGCGACGAUCCGUAGCUGGUCUGAGAGGAUGACCAGCCACACUGGGACUGAGACACGGCCCAGACUCC
rnacentral:rRNA from 1 species